rnacentral:misc_RNA from 1 species
AAGUCGUAACAAGGUUUCCGUAGGUGAACCUGCGGAAGGAUCAUUAACGAUUUCGGUUUACACCGUUCUCUACCUAUGUCUACGCGUACCACAUGUUUCCUCGGGGGGCUUGCCCCCCGUUAGGACACCCCAUAAACCUUUUUGUAAUAGCAGUUAGCGUCUGAAAAAUAAGUUAAUUAUUAAAACUUUCAACAAUGGAUCUCUUGGCUCCA